GGGGUGAUGGGAUUCCUGAUCACACACAUCUAGAGGGUGCCAAGUCAGGGGCGGUGGCUUGACGAGUUCUUUCGAAGUGCGGUAUAUUAACUUAGGCAGCUAUUAAGAGGAAAGUGCGGAGAACAAGGGGAGCAGGGAGGAGAGACCUUCCAGACAGACAGACACACCUCAGGUAGUCAGCUGGGAUCCAGGCACAGGAAGAGAUUUCUACGUGUCCUGCACCUGGAGCCUAAGGAUGCUGAAGAAUUUAUUUCAGCCCAAUGGACUGAUCUAAUUCCCACUUCCCAGGACAGUCACCGGUGGAUUCUGUGAAUAAUGUGCCCAGCUGAGCUAUGUUCUAGCAGACCACCCUGUUUUCCUUGAAAAGUAUGUGACAGCAUUUGAGAAUCCUACCUGGAGACCACAGAACGCAGAGGGAGUGAAUUCCUUUGUAUAGAAUUAUGCUGCUAGUGGACUGUCUGCCUUAGAAGUGGGCAUCCAUAAUCUUCCUUAGGUUACAAACUGCCGUGUACAAUAUUCUUCACCAUUAGCCAUAUUGGUUGGGACUUUAGGGACUUGCAGCUCAGUAGGACCCCAGAUUCCCCACUCUUGCACUUGGUCAAUAAACGUUAGGACUUGUUUAGUUCCUGCCUUUUGUUCCUGAAUGAUUAAACAGUACACUGAUGUGAAUUCCAAUGUCAUCUCAUUAAAAUAAGAAAAAGUGGGGAUGAGAAAUUGUUCCUGAAUUUACCAAUUCGUUCCUCAAGCUAACUGUGUAGGCAACAAGCUAGUUCAGAAGUUCACCAUCCUAUCAUAAAUAGCUACGCUUAGUUUUCAUUCAGUUAAAAUUAAAUUAAAAUUAGUUUGGACCUUAGCCUACCCACUUCCUUGUCCUGGUCCUACCCCCUUUUUGGAGACUGGCUUAAUAUUUCAUGCGAAGGUCAAAAGCAGUCUUCAACCCCAAAGGCAUGGUACACCUGCUGCUUUAAAGAAUCAAACCCCCAGACAGUGCACAAAUAGUUUGCCUGUGUAAUCCAAUGUUACAUUGGAUAACAAUUUUUCCAACCCCCCAUUACCAGAUUACCCAUAUUAAUUGCUAGGAAAAAAAAAAAAAACUAAGCAGAAGCCGUUUUAAGAAAUCCUCUUACUUACGUCUGGUAACAGAAGCAAGAAAGACAAUUUGGAGGAGCUAUUAAUAAUGAACAUUCAGAGGCCCGUAUUUCCUGGCAAAUUGAUCCAUUUGUUCUUCCCGUCAGUGAGAUAGAGGGGAGGCUGGUUUAAGCCUAAGUAAAAUGGAAAUAAAUUUAGAUUUUAAAUACAGUAUCAGCAAAUAUGCAAUAACUAAUGGACUGUGCUAGCUGCUUUUGCUGCACUUUUACUGGCAUAUGACGGACAUCUGCCAGUAGAAUUUUUAAGUUAUUAUUUUAAAACCCAGCUGUUUUCAGUGAUUCAUUUCCUCCAAUUUCCCAGACAAGUCAUAGCGAACCAGAGCAUCCCCUUUGCCAGCUCUGGUUGCCAAUAUCAGUACUUCAAAAUUCUUUUUACUCCCAAGCUUUUAAAACUGAAUUUGCUGUGUGAAUUUAUUUUUCCCUCCCCUGGUGAUUAAGCUUCAGCCUUCCCCACUAAUCAUAGAAAUGGAACUCCCCAUAGACAAAUAAGUACACAAUGGUUCAGGUCUCAGGCCAACAGCCUCAGGGCUCUUUCACCACAUUAUCUCUCAAACCAUGUGCUUUUCCAUGCGUCCUUGCUCUGCCUAAUUAAGCACACUGUUGUUAGCAGUGUGCACAUUUAAAAACAGAGAGUGCUGUUUUUUAGAGGGUAUGAAGCAGAUGAACCCGAAGUCCUGACUGUAUCAAAAGAGGGUAAAAAGAAGCAGUGCACUUUCAGCAAAUUUUUCUCUAAUUGCAUCCAAAGGAUGUGUGUUUGUGGCAAAAUAAUUUACCCAAUGACAGGAGUUUAAUAUUUUCUGAAGAGUGCUUGGUUCCUCCGUGAUGUUAGCAUGCAGCCAGUCGGAGUAUCUUUUUCUGCCUUUUCUGCUUUUGUUCCUUUCUUGGGUCUUGUGGGCUUUACUAUAACACGACAACAUUCAGGUGGGUGGGGUGGAGGUUUGGGCCAUUUUUAUAUGACAAGAUUACAGUUUUGAGGAAUUCAAUGGGGCUUUUCUCCCACAAUGAGAAAAACUGACCAAAUUUUGUGGAGAUUUGGGGGUUUUUUUAAGGGUUAAACGUGUGUCAUAAACCUCCACAAGGAACACAUUUUCAGGCUUUAAACUACUCCCACCCCCAUCCUAAUCCAUCACAAACAUAGUCCAAAAAUGUCACCUGUACCCACUCCAGGAAGCUUUAGGAUGUAAAAGAAGUCUCUGGGGAUCUAUUUUCUUAGCAGACAGGAUCUUCUAUUAUUCUUCUGCCUCCCAGCUCAUAUGGUUCCCAACUAGGCCACAGAUGAAGUGUGUUAUGCUAGCAUAAAAGCUAGCCAACAUGUAAUGCAACAGCAACACUGAGUUUCCGCCAUGAAGAGAAGUUCUGCCUGUUACACUUGCUCCCUAAAAGAUGAUCUUGGUGAAUGCUUUGCAGACUGAAAGACAAAUGUACACAUUCAUGGACUCUGAGCUGGGGAUGGGGGGAAAGGCUUGGAACUUUUUUUGCCUCUCGUAAUAAUUUAGUGUCUCUUUAAUGAGUGGCAUGAUGAGCAGGAAGCCAGGAGAGUGAAUGUUGAUUGGCUGAAUUGUUCAGGUAGGCGGGGCUGUCUGAAGGCACUCUUAGUGAGCCCCAGGCCUGGCAAAAGGGUGUGCUAGAGGUGUAUGACAAUCAUGCUGGUUGAGAACAGUGACGGACAAAGGAACUGUGACAAUCCAGCACGUUGGGGAUGCUUUGCACAUGGGAUGGACUUGUGGUGUGGCAGGACCCAACUGUUAACUAAAAGGUAAUUUAGCCUAAGGCUUAUUAACAGAUGGCCCAUAUAAAUAGGAAAAAAUGAGUAGAAUGAAGAUGGAGAGCUAUAAAUAUUCAUUUUCAGAGCUUUCAUUUCCCUUCUCUUGUAAUCCAUUUAAACUAUGCAAAACUGAGCUUAAUCUCAAGUGCUUCUCAGAGGGCAUGAGGGGGUGAGAAGUGGCCUAGAGCAAAAUCUAGUUACCUUUUCCCAGUAGGCAAUAAGAUCUCAUUAUUUCACCAUUCUGUAAUAAAAUGCAGAGCUGAACUUUGCUGGCACAAGGGAAUGUAAUGUAAUAUCUACAUGAGGGCUAGAAUGUGUUUCUAGCCAAACUUAACUUCUGCGUCUUCCAUCCCAUAUUUUACCCUUUUUGAUAAAACUUUUUUUUGUUGCUUUGGUAAAAUGAAAAACAACAACUAAUAUUUGCAAGGCACUGAUUUUGGCAAAGGAAAAGAAAUAGCAAAACUAUUUUGUGCAAUUGUUCUCAAAACAGUGGGAUAAGAAUAAUCUCACACAGGGGCAAAAUGUAUAGAAGAACAUCUGUAAAAUCUGUGGAUCAGAUCAGAGGCUGUCCAGGAACAUGUCUGUAUGCUACCUCCUUCAGAUACGGCAAAACUGAGUGUAUGGAGCAUCAUCAAGCUAGCAUUGUCUGUUCCUGAAGCCUUUACAUGUUUCAGAGCUUGAAGAAGACUCAGCAAGAAUAAUAUAUUUUCAAAUUUAAUUUAAACCAUAUAGCCACAUGGUCUCAUCUAUUCUGGUUUAGUUUUUUGUCAAACAUUCCCAAGACUUACUCUUUUUAAAGAAUGGAAAAGACCUUGAAAGUAAUCCCUAUAACAUGUUGCAUUUGUUACUAUAAUGCCAAGACUUUGGAAAGUUUGCAAGACUGUGUUCCUUUGAACAAACACCAUUAUUAUUUACUUUUAAGUUUAAACCUUUCUUUUUCCUCCAACAUGGUGCUGAGGCUGGUUGUAUUAGUGGAGAUGGCAUUGUUAGUUGCUGGUUUUUAGAAGGUUGCAGAUGGUUGGAGGGGAAGACCUCUUGCUCAGAUGAUGGAGGGAUCUUCUGGGGUCUUCCCUCUCCUGCUCCUAGACUGGACUGUUAGCGCUUGCCAUUGGGCUUGUGUGGUGUAUAUCCUGGAACCUCUUGUUCUGCACUGCCAGAUGGAGGACUGUCUUCCCAGAGCCAACGAUGGCAGCAGUGAGAUGGUGGGACUGCUGGAAGCGCUGAUCAGCUGUUGAGCAGUUUGUGCCCUCAGCAGCAAUCAGCAGUGCUGCGCUGGAAGGAAGAAGCCCUGCAGCACCUGUGACGUCAUGGGAGGCCCUCUUUUGGCUUGCAUGGAGGAGGAGAGCAUUGGAGUUUAAAUGUGGCCAAGGGAGGUGUGAUUGAUGGCAAUGGCCUAAAAGGGCAGCUAUUCCAUAUAUACUGUAUACUUAUAACAUAAUUCCCCCUGAGAUUAAAUUGUCCCUGUCCCUGAUGGCCUUUCAUAAGGCCUUAAAAACCUGACUUUGUGCUCAAGCCUGGGCCUCUGGGUGUGGGUUAGAGCCCUUCUCCUGGUUGUAUGGAUGAUGAUUUGGUUGUGCCUGGCUGCUAUGUG